CCCGUUAGACUUUAGGCAAGUUUUAAUUGUUAUUACAGAAACAAAGCCUUACACUUACGGCACACCUUUCCUGUUGUUAAAUUGUCAGGAAUAACGUGAUUUCAUGUUGUUAAAUUGCAUGUGUGCUAAUUCUUAAGAAUGGAUCCGUAGUUUGUCCUUCUUGAUUUCAGUUCACAUCAAUUAAUUAUUCAAAUAUGCACACUUUUGGGCAUUACUUUUUUUUUUUUUUUUUUUUUUUUUUUUUUUUUUUCUGGACAUUGCUGUUUGUUUUUAGUGAAAGAGUUUAUGACUAAGUACAUUUUACUAGCAAGAAUAAUGGAGACAAGUAUCAUGUUUCCACAAAUUUGUAUUGCAUAAAAAGUUAUGCAGAGAUCCAAGAUAGGGUUGGUGUCACGAAAGUUAUACCGAAGAUCCAUUGUUAGUUCGAGCAACGACCAACUGAUCCAAAAGGGUAUUCCCUACACUGCUCUGGACAGUAAGUUUCUCAAUCCCUAAUUGAAUGUUGAGUGAAAAAAAUUUGUUCCAUGAUUACGGUGCAAUACUUUCAGUAAUCUACUUUAAAAUAGACUUCAAUGUUAAUGUGAUUCUUCUGUAUUUUUCUUUCUCUCAAUCUCAGGGAACUUUUUUUUUUUUUUUUUUUGUAGACAGAGAAUGCAAGUUAGUGAUGGUGGCCUAUCCAACUCUACUCUCUCCCAAGCAUAUCAUCAAACAUAUUCAGCAUCAUCUUCGCCCUCCAAUUUCUCUUGAAGAACACCAAUGUUUGUCUUAAUUGCCCCUGUACCAACUUUUUUGUUUGUUGUUGAAAACAAAAUGCAAAAAUAUUCAAGUCGCCUUCGUAAAAAAAUGCAGUCGUCAGGGGAUGCUUGAUAAUAUAUGUAGCGUCUUCUUUGUGUGUUUUGAGCGGUUGUCACUGUAACAGCUGCUUUGGUAAAUGUUUAAGGGCAUUGUAUCAUGAUUAUUUUUUUACACUGCAUUUUUACUUGGAAACUGAUUUCUAAUUU
rnacentral:lncRNA from 1 species